GACGAACGCUGGCGGCGUGCUUAACACAUGCAAGUCGAACGGAAAGGCCCUGCUUUUGUGGGGUGCUCGAGUGGCGAACGGGUGAGUAACACGUGAGUAACCUGCCCUUGACUUUGGGAUAACUUCAGGAAACUGGGGCUAAUACCGGAUAGGAGCUCCUGCUGCAUGGUGGGGGUUGGAAAGUUUCGGCGGUUGGGGAUGGACUCGCGGCUUAUCAGCUUGUUGGUGGGGUAGUGGCUUACCAAGGCUUUGACGGGUAGCCGGCCUGAGAGGGUGACCGGCCACAAUGGGACUGAGAUACGGCCCAGACUCCUACGGGAGGCAGCAGUGGGGAAUAUUGCACAAUGGGCGGAAGCCUGAUGCAGCAACGCCGCGUGCGGGAUGACGGCCUUCGGGUUGUAAACCGCUGUCGCCUGUGACGAAGCGUGAGUGACGGUAAUGGGUAAAGAAGCACCGGCUAACUACGUG
rnacentral:rRNA from 1 species